AACGCAAGUUGCGCCCGAAGCCAUUCGGCCGAGGGCACGUCUGCCUGGGUGUCACGCAUCGUUGCCCCAACCCCAAACACUUCUUAUGAUGUGUGGGGUGCGGGGAAGACAUUGGCCUCCCGUGUGCUUCUGCUCGCGGUUAGCCUAAAAGUGAGUCCUAGGCGACGAGCGCCACGACAAUCGGUGGUUGAGAAACCCUCGUGACCCGUCGUGUGUUGCCCGUCGCUGUGAAGGUGCUCCUCGACCCUAUUGCGUCGUUCCUGCGACUCUACCAUCGCGACCCCAGGUCAGGCGGGAUUACCCGCUGAAUUUAA
rnacentral:misc_RNA from 1 species